UACAGAGGUCUCAAGCGUUGUUCGGAUUCAUUGGGCGUAAAGGGUGCGUAGGCGGCGCGGUAAGUCGGGUGUGAAAUCUCGGAGCUUAACUCCGAAACUGCAUUCGAUACUGCCGAGCUUGAGGACUGGAGAGGAGACUGGAAUUUACGGUGUAGCGGUGAAAUGCGUAGAUAUCGUAAGGAAGACCAGUGGCGAAGGCGGGUCUCUGGACAGUUCCUGACGCUGAGGCACGAAGGUCAGGGGAGCAAACGGG
rnacentral:rRNA from 1 species